GGCUGGUCUGAAGGUAGUGAGUUAUCUCAGUUGGUUGUUCAGUCAGUUACAGAUCUAACUCCAUGUUCUACUCUUCCCCUUUUUUACUACUGCACUUGACUAGUCUCAA
rnacentral:Y_RNA from 1 species